rnacentral:rRNA from 1 species
UUUUUGUACUGGAGAUUUUGUUACUUUGAGUAAAUUAGAGUGUUCAAAGCAAACAGUUAAAGCAUUUUACUGCGUUUGAAUACUACAGCAUGGAAUAACAAAAUUGAACAAGUCAAAAGUCUGUUCCUUUUUCUUAUUUUGGCUUAGUUACGAUUAAUAGGAGUAGCUUGGGGGCAUUUGUAUUCAGAUGUCAGAGGUGAAAUUCUUAGAUUUUCUGGAGACAAACAACUGCGAAAGCAUUUGCCUAAAAUACUUCCAUUAAUCAAGAACGAAAGUUAAGGGAGUGAAGACGAUCAGAUACCGUCGUAAUCUUAACCAUAAACUAUGCCGACUAGGUUUUGGAUGAAAGAUUUUUAAAUAAGAAAAUUCCUUUUGGAAAUUUCUUAGAUUGCUUCCUUCAGUACCUUAUGAGAAAUCAAAGUCUUUGGGUUCUGGGGCGAGUAUUCGCGCAAGCGAGAAAGUUAAAAGAAUUGACGGAAGGGCACCCCCAGGCGUGGAGCUUGCGGCUUAAUUUGACUCAACACGGGGAAACUCACUAGUUUAAGACAAGAGUAGGAUUGACAGAUUAAUAGCUCUUUCUUGAUUUCUUGGAUGGUGAUGCAUGGCCGUUUUUAGUUCGUGAAUAUGAUUUGUCUGGUUAAUUCCGAUAACGAACGAGAUCUUAACCUGCUAAUUAGCGGCGAAUACGUUAUAUUCCUACU